GACGGAGGAUGCAAGUGUUAUCCGGAAUCACUGGGCGUAAAGCGUGCGCAGGCGGUUGUGUAAGACAGGUGUGAAAUCCCCGGGCUUAACCUGGGAACUGCAUUUGUGACUGCAUCGCUGGAGUGCGGCAGAGGGGGAUGGAAUUCCGCGUGUAGCAGUGAAAUGCGUAGAUAUGCGGAGGAACACCGAUGGCGAAGGCAAUCCCCUGGGCCUGCACUGACGCUCAUGCACGAAAGCGUGGGGAGCAAACAGG
rnacentral:rRNA from 1 species